rnacentral:snRNA from 1 species
AGCUUUGCGCAGUGGCAGUAUCGUAGCCAAUGAGGUUUAUCCGAGGCGUGAUUAUUGCUAAUUAAAAGGCAUAUCCUAAAUGCUUACAAAAUGUACAACACUUUCAUAAUAAUGGUUUGGAAUUUCUCAGGAGA